rnacentral:lncRNA from 1 species
UUGGCAGUUUCACUUUAAACACAUCAUUUGUUUUUUUAAUUGUAAGAUCUGAAUUUUAAUCUUAAUCUUUUACUGUUCAUUUGUUUUGAAUGUUAAUUAGGUUAGUGUCGUGGUGCGCGAUCCUUUCAAAUCCCUAGAAGAAGAGAUUCACGCUUAGUCUGAAAAGGUAUAGAGGUUGUGGUUUUUAAUUAGUUGCUGACUCCAAAGAUUCUCUGCUCAAUUGAAUCCAAUUGUUGUUUUGGUGAAUGAUUC